rnacentral:lncRNA from 1 species
CUUAACCUAUUUUCAAUAUUGAUUUACCGUGUCUAAAUUGUUGUAACUAAUCUAGGAUGAUCUUUAUUUCCUUUUAUCAUUUGAUUAAUUUGUUUCCACCUUAGUAAUUUCAAACCAAAUAAUUUUCAAAAAUUUGAUUAAUAAGUUUAAUAAUCACUUGUAUUUCUUUAUUAGGUCUUUUAAUUUGGACCAUAUAUCUUCAUAUACAAUCCCAUAAACUUUAUGGUACUAUAUAAUAUAUUAGUAAUUAAUUUUUGAUUUUUAGUUUGUAAAGUUUGUGGGUAGUUAUUUUCUGAAAAAAAUAAAUAAAUCGCAAAAAAACAAAAUAGUCACAUACUGAAAACUGUGACAGCUUGUGAAGUCAAAUAGUCAAAAGUGGGGAGUGACAAAUAACAAGAAAUGAAGCUGCAUCGAAAUAGAAUAUAAGUUUAUUAUGAGAUUAUUGUGUGUGGUC